rnacentral:lncRNA from 1 species
AGAACAGGGCCACAGGAGGCUGCUUCCUUUAAUAAUAAGGCCAGCAGGAUGGCAUGUUAAACAUAUCCUGUUACUUUAGGGUUCCAAGCAUAUCUGCGUUAGGCACUUGCUGCCUGGGAUUCCAGGAUACAUUUGUCAGGAAAAAGUAAUCAAAAUUCACUCUUUGAGCAGUGAAAAGCGUAGCUGGGAUUACAGGAGCUCACCACUAAGCCUGGCUAAUUUUUGUAUUUUUAGUAGAGAUGGGGUUUCACCAUGUUGGCCAGGCUGGUCUCGAGAGCUCUCCUGGGUCACACUGGGUGUAACCUGAAUUCAAAUUCUCACCACCUUCCCCACCAGGAAACAGGAAGCCCUGAGAAAGAGAAAUAUAUUCUCUUUCUAAAAUUGUGAUUCAGACACAGAAGGCAAUCACGUGUCCAUACAUCCAUGAAGUGAGAGACAAGCCUUACGCGGACCAGUAUCAUCAUAUGCUGUUACAGGAGGGUACGUAACUUUUGGAACUUUAGGCUGAAAAAGUUCAAAUACACAUGAAGGUAUAAGCAUAUAAAGAUAAAUGUGAACAUGUUUUGCAUACUGGCCUAAUUCCAAUUUCUAGAGGAAGCAACCAUUAGCAGUUUGAAACCAUUUGUUGUAUAUUGUUCCAGACUCAUUUCCGUGCACAUAGAAAGUCUAAUUUUGUCUUUACAGAAAUGACAUCAUGCUAUGUCUAUCGCCCUGCACUUUGCCUUUUCCACUUACAAUUUCAUAUCUAUCCACCUAUCUAUCCAUUAUCUAUCUAUCCAUCUGUCAUCUACCCAUUCAUCUUCCAUCAUCUGUGCACCUGUGUAUCUACAUAUCCAUCACCUGACCAUUCAUCUUCUAUCCAUUUAUCUAUCAUCUAUCCAUCCAUCUUCUAUAUAUUAUCUAUGUAUCUAUCCAUCCAUCAUCUAUUAUCUAUCUAUCUAUCUAUCUAUCUAUCUAUCUGACACCUAUCUCUUAUUGUUGUCCUUCCAUUCCUGUAGAUAUGGACCAACUUCUUCCGUCCUUCUUUUUCUUCUACUUCUCUCUUUCUUUCUUCUUUCUUUCUUUCUCUUUCUUUCUUUCUUUUUCUCUCUCUUUCUCUCUCUCACUCUCUCUUUCUUUCUUUCCUCUCGACCCUGUUUAUUGAUAAUUCAACAGAACCAGUUUGAAAUAUGGAGAAAUUAGGUCAACUCUACACUUUCACAUGGCUUAUUUUCAGCUUCCAAUCUUAGCUAGUGACAUGACUCUUUCUUCCAAGUCGAGGUCUUGCAGCACUUGCCUUCACUCCCGUAGCUGUAGUUAGACAGCACCUUAGGCUUGGGUCGACCCUCGGUGAACUCUAUGCCGUGUCCCGCCGCGCCACAGCACAGCUUUCUCCUCAUUGUCUUCUGGCUCUGACUGUAGACAUGGAAAAAGCAGAGUCAACCUGAAUCUUCUCCCUUGCACGAGGCCAACUGCUGCCUGAAUCAUCAUAGGAUUCUUUACUUUCUCUUGAAGAUAAACAACUUCACCAGAAAAUGUCCAAGUGUUGUUCAGCAAUUGAGAGUUUCUUUUGCUAUGUUUGUUUUCAUCACUUUUACUUCAUACCUUUUUUUUUUCAUUUAAUUUUGUGUCGUUUUUCUCAAGGCUGACACAUCACAAACUCUGUUUUCAACAGUCCGUAUUCCACAUUCAUUGCUUCUAACAUGGAGCUAACUUCUGCAAUGAUGUGGCCACCACUGGAACAGGAAGGUUGCUGUCAGAAUCUGGAGAAAUUCAUGGGAAGUUUAAUGUUGCCAGUGAGAGAAACACUCUGUGAGCUGUUCUUAGGGUCUGCUGGUGAGAUGGCUCAGGAAGGGUAAACACUGGAGGCAUGAGAAUACCAUCGAAGGGGCCGACUGCAG